UACGAAGGGGGCUAGCGUUGUUCGGAAUCACUGGGCGUAAAGGGCGCGUAGGCGGCUUUGUAAGUCGGGGGUGAAAGCCUGUGGCUCAACCACAGAAUUGCCUUCGAUACUGCAUGGCUUGAGACCGGAAGAGGUUAGUGGAACUGCGAGUGUAGAGGUGAAAUUCGUAGAUAUUCGCAAGAACACCAGUGGCGAAGGCGGCUGACUGGUCCGGUUCUGGACGCUGAGGCGGCGAAAAGCGUGGGGAGCAAACAGG
rnacentral:rRNA from 1 species